GUCNNGGCUAACUANNCGUGCCAGCAGCCCGCGGUAAGACGUAGGACGCAAGCGUUAUCCGGAUUUACUGGGCGUAAAGCGUCUGUAGGCGGAUGGGUAAGUUGGGCGUGAAAGCUCCGUGCUCAACGCGGAGAGGUCGUUCAAUACUGCCGAUCUGGAGGUCAUCAGAGGGGCGUGGAAUUUCCGGUGUAGCGGUAAAAUGCGCAGAUAUCGGAAGGAACACCAGUGGCGAAAGCGGCGCCCUGGGGUGGACCUGACGCUGAGAGACGAAAGCUAGGGGAGCGAACAGGAUUAGAGACCCUGGUAGUCCUAGCUAUAAACGAUGGAUGCUAGGUGUGGGGUCGAGAAGGCUCCGUGCCGGAGCCAACGCGAUAAGCAUCCCGCCUGGGGACUACGGCCGCAAGGCUAAAACUCAAACGAAUUGACGGGGCCCCGCACAAGCAGCGGAGCGUGUGGUUCAAUUCGAUGCUACACGAAGAACCUUACCUGGGUUUGACAUGGAGGUGGUAGGGAAGCGAAAGCGGACCGACCCUUCGGGGAGCCUUCACAGGUGCUGCAUGGCUGUCGUCAGCUCGUGCCGUGAGGUGUCGGGUUAAGUCCCGUAACGAGCGCAACCCUUGCCCUUAGUUACAAGUGUCUAAGGGGACUGCCGGCGGUAAGCCGGAGGAAGGUGGGGAUGACGUCAAGUCAGCAUGGCCCUUAUAUCCAGGGCUACACACACGCUACAAUGGUCGGUACAAAGGGCAGCGAAGCCGCGGGGUGAAGCGAAUCCCAUCAAAGCCGAUCGUAGUUCGGAUUGCAGGCUGCAACUCGCCUGCAUGAAGCUGGAGUUGCUAGUAACCGCGCGUCAGCCAUAGUGCGGUGAAUACGUUCCCNGGGGCUUGUACACACCGCCCGUCACGUCAUGGGAGUCGGUAACGCCUGAAGCCGGUGGCUCAACUCGCAAGAGGGAGUGCCGUCUAAGGCGGGGCUGGCAACUGGGACGAAGU
rnacentral:rRNA from 1 species